GGUCCUAAGGAAGCUCGGAGUGCUUCGUUUGAAGGAUUUGGACGUCGGGAUCACGAACUAUUACAUGAAAAAUGGACGAAAGAACAAGGAGAAUGACAAGUUCAAAGUUUGGCCGGAGCUUUCGGGGCAUUUUCCGGCGAAACCACGGCGAGUUAGGGGUCAAGGCAGAAAUUCCGGCAAAACACUAUUUCCGGCGAAACCAGUCCGGCGACGCGAGGAAGAAG